rnacentral:rRNA from 1 species
GGAAUCUUCCACAAUGGGCGAAAGCCUGAUGGAGCAACGCCGCGUGUGUGAUGAAGGGCUUCGGCUCGUAAAACACUGUUGUAAGAGAAGAAUGACAUUGAGAGUAACUGUUCAAUGUGUGACGGUAUCUUACCAGAAAGGAACGGCUAAAUACGUGUCAG